AUGUCCUGAAUGGAUGUCCACGUAUCGAUGGUGACACUUACCCUUUGAUCACUUAUCACACUCAUGAUCUUAGCCUUUUUGAUGAAGAACAUAUCCCACACACCAACAACUACCUUCUUUCCAUAAUGACAUACUUCACACAAUUCAAUUCACUCCUUUUUUUAUUAAAUGUGUCAGGGACCAAUCCCCCACCCAUUGUUUUAGUUCUUAAGGCAGUUUGGCUACCACCAUCUUUUGUAAAAAGUGGAGAACCCUUUCAUCUCAACUUUAAGUGGUUUUUUAAACCAAUUGUCUCAUUUUUCUUAGAAUAGGUCAGCAACUCUACUUUACAAUAAUUGCAAACCCCAAUGACCCUCUCUACCACAUUAGCAUCUUUUUUUUCCUUUUCUAUUUUGUAAAGCGAUCCUACACUAUAGAUUUAGAGGAUUUCCUCUUAUCUCCCAUAACAGAAGGUGUAGAAUCUACUUGUUGGUCUUGUGUUUGGGUUGAAUAGAAGGUGGUGGACACAUUCAUGUAGAGGCAUUCAGGGCAUGUUUGGUUGGCCUCAUUAGCUUGGACUAUGCUAAAUAAGAUUUGAAGCCCAUGUUUGGUAAGAUGAAGGACUAAGUUAAAUGGGAUUGUAGAGUCCAAUAGUAAAAAAAACCUCCUCACUCGCUCUCCUUAUACAGAGAGCCUGAAACUGCCUUCGCAAAAUAAGCCAUUCGCUAAAUUGAAACAGCGAAUCCAGAUAUCUCUUGUUCGCGACUUCGGCUCUCUCUCCUUCGCUACUCCACAUUUCCUUCACACAAAGCCAAGAUUCUGAUUCAUGUGCUCUACGCUUUGUUCUUCGUCUCAGAGCUUCGAUUUUCAAGAUUUCUAGUUCUAUUUCUUGUUUCUUAUUCUUAUGAUCAUUCGAAUCAAAGUUGAAGUUUCGUUCUCUGUCCUAGAUUUGCAAUUGUGUGGUUGGUGAGAUUUUUGCUUGAGGACGUUUAUUCUCAUUGGAUUUUCAGUUGAGCUGAGGCCCCUUCUUCUGUCCUUUCGUGGCCAUAAGCGGCGCAUAGGCAAAACUAGCAGAUGCUAUGGACGUCCUACAAGAAGCAUUGCUUUAUGUGUUUAGUUCAAUCUAAUAGGAUUUUUUAUGUAGCUAGUUAAGCUGUAGUAUCGUCAUUGACUUGAGGACCUGGCCUAGCUAAAUUUGAUGCAUCUAUCUUUUUGGAAACACCACAAAUGAUGGAUUAAUGAGAUUGACUUCAUUUUGGAAACACCACAAAAUGGUAUAACAUAUUGCGAGCAUUAAAGCUAGAUGGUUUAUGGUUAUGGGGCUUCUUAGUUUCAUUUUGAAAUUGUGGAUGUUUAUUUGUAUGUAUUAAUGGUAGAAUUGUGUGCAGUGAA